UGUUUGAUGUUCUAACGUGGACCCGUGAUCCGGGUUGCGGACAGUGUCUGGUGGGUAGUUUGACUGGGGCGGUCUCCUCCUAAAGAGUAACGGAGGAGCACGAAGGUUGGCUAAUCCUGGUCGGACAUCAGGAGGUUAGUGCAAUGGCAUAAGCCAGCUUGACUGCGAGCGUGACGGCGCGAGCAGGUGCGAAAGCAGGUCAUAGUGAUCCGGUGGUUCUGAAUGGAAGGGCCAUCGCUCAACGGAUAAAAGGUACUCCGGGGAUAACAGGCUGAUACCGCCCAAGAGUUCAUAUCGACGGCGGUGUUUGGCACCUCGAUGUCGGCUCAUCACAUCCUGGGGCUGAAGUAGGUCCCAAGGGUAUGGCUGUUCGCCAUUUAAAGUGGUACGCGAGCUGGGUUUAGAACGUCGUGAGACAGUUCG
rnacentral:rRNA from 2 species